UACGUAGGGUGCAAGCGUUAAUCGGAAUUACUGGGCGUAAAGCGUGCGCAGGCGGUUUGGUAAGACAGAUGUGAAAUCCCCGGGCUUAACCUGGGAAUUGCAUUUGUGACUGCCCGGCUAGAGUGUGUCAGAGGGGGGUAGAAUUCCACGUGUAGCAGUGAAAUGCGUAGAGAUCGGAAAGAACACCAACGGCGAAAGCACUCUGCUGGGCCGACACUGACACUGAGAGACGAAAGCUAGGGGAGCAAAUGGG
rnacentral:rRNA from 1 species